AACGAACGCUGGCGGCAUGCCUAACACAUGCAAGUCGAACGAGACCUUCGGGUCUAGUGGCGCACGGGUGCGUAACGCGUGGAAACCUGCCCUUAGGUUCGGAAUAACUCCCCGAAAGGGGUGCUAAUACCGGAUAAUGUCUUCGGACCAAAGAUUUAUCGCCUUAGGAUGGGCCCGCGUUGGAUUAGCUAGUUGGUAGGGUAAAAGCCUACCAAGGCGACGAUCCAUAGCUGGUCUGAGAGGAUGAUCAGCCACACUGGGACUGAGACACGGCCCAGACUCCUACGGGAGGCAGCAGUGGGGAAUAUUAGACAAUGGGCGAAAGCCUGAUCCAGCAAUGCCGCGUGAGUGAUGAAGGCCUUAGGGUUGUAAAGCUCUUUUACCCGGGAUGAUAAUGACAGUACCGGGAGAAUAAGCUCCGGCUAACUCCGUG
rnacentral:rRNA from 1 species